AGGCGCGUCCUCCCGCGCGCUAUGACGGCCAGCGCACAGCCGCGCGGGCGGCGGCCAGGAGUCGGAGUCGGAGUCGUGGUGACCAGCUGCAAGCAUCCGCGUUGCGUCCUCCUGGGGAAGAGGAAAGGCUCGGUUGGAGCUGGCAGUUUCCAACUCCCUGGAGGUCAUCUGGAGUUCGGUGAAACCUGGGAAGAAUGUGCUCAAAGGGAAACCUGGGAAGAAGCAGCUCUUCACCUGAAAAAUGUUCACUUUGCCUCAGUUGUGAAUUCUUUCAUUGAGAAGGAGAAUUACCAUUAUGUUACUAUAUUAAUGAAAGGAGAAGUGGAUGUGACUCAUGAUUCAGAACCAAAGAAUGUAGAGCCUGAAAAAAAUGAAAGUUGGGAGUGGGUUCCUUGGGAAGAACUACCUCCCCUGGACCAGCUUUUCUGGGGACUGCGUUGUUUAAAAGAACAAGGCUAUGAUCCAUUUAAAGAAGAUCUGAACCAUCUGGUGGGAUACAAAGGAAAUCAUCUCUAGGUGGCCGAGAAGAUUUGAUUUUCUUUAAAAAGACAAGAAUAAGGGUCUCACUCUGUCAACCAGGCUGGAGUGCAGUGGUGCAAUCUCGGCUCACUGCAACCUCCAGCUCCCAGGCUCAAGGGAUCCUCUUGCCUCGGCCUCCUGAGUACCUGGGAUUACAGAUUCACUUUCUACCUAUUCUUGGAUGACUCCCCAAACAAUAUUAUCUACAGCCCAGAUGUUUCUAAGCUCCAGGCCCCACCGCACACCAGGCAUCUCUACUUGAUUGUCCACAUCCUUCUGGCUUGCUGUGUUUCAGACUGAACUUCCUCCUAUUCUUCUCAGAGAAGGGCUCUACCAUCUGCUGAAUUGCUCAAAUUUGAUUCCCUUCCCCGCAUCCAGCAGUUGCUCUUUCUUGUCCAUUCUGUUUCUUGUCUCUUGAAUCCACCCCCAUCACAUGGUCCCACCUGCCUCUCCCCUAGGCCAGGCCCGUGCCACCUUUUCCCCAGACUCUUCCUGCAGCUUUACUCCGCCAAUCAACUGAAUGGCUUAUUUUUAUUCUUGUGGUAAAAUACACGUAACAUAAAACUUACCAUCUUAACCCUCCAAUUCAUUUUUGACAUUACUCCUGGAGUGACUUUUCAAAGCAUAAAUUUAGUUAUGUCUCAUCUUCCCAAACGUCUUUGGAAGUUCCCAUCACCUGUAGAAUAAAAUCCCUAACCUGACGUAUGAGCUUUCCUAAUUUCCCUGGACUAAUUUUCUCAUUAUAUCACACCCUGCUGUUGCACCCUGCACUCUCAGCAUCUUUGUGCUUCAUCCAGUGCAACAGGCUGGUUCCUACCUCCUUGCCAGUGCGCCUGCAGCUCCUUCUGAACUGAAUGCGACACCCACCUUCAAUGUGCCUUAACAGAUCCUUACUAGUUUUUCGUACCUUAGUUCAAGGUUCCUUCCUCUGUGAAACCUGGACUCACCCAAUUGGACCUUGACAUAUCUCACCUUACACCAUUUCUACUGUAUGUUGACUUCAGAGGUAGCGCUUGAUUUCAUAAGGCCCUAGGCUUAAAUGAGACAUGUCACAAGUUGUGUUCUUCCAAAGCCGCCCAUUUUUGUCUUUUUGAAUAGCAUGGUUUAAAUUUCUAAUGGGUUGAAUUCACCUCUGAUGCAUUUGUGAAGCAAUAAGUUAAAUUCUGCAGAUAAAAUGCCCGCAAGUCAGCCUCCUCCUUCAAAAUGGCUGAAGACAAGUAUACAUCAAUAUUGUAGUUUUCAUAAGUGCUAUUCAUGUGAAUGAAAAGGAAAUAUGUUCACCUUUCAGGGAUCACAUGUGACUCUGGAAGGGUAUUUUCUGUGGCUGAGCACAGCUUUGAUUAUUUGAGGAUUUAGGUCUGAUGCAUCUGAUAAGGCUGCCAGUACUUGUAUAUUAUGGAAGAUGUCAUGUUGAUUUCUAUUGAUUGCUUGUCUCCCCAGUAGAAAGUAAACUCCUUUAGACUAAAGACCAUGUCUUUCUAUUAUAUACCUAGCAGCCAGAGUGGUAACUGCUAAUGCUAAAUGCCUAAUAUAUACUAGCUGAAUGAAAAAAGUGACCUUUUAGUAUUUCUUUUUCUUAACUUUUUCUUUUUCUGGGUCAGAAAGAAAACAAGUAGUAUUGAGGAUCCUCAGAAUAGGAAAUGCAAAUACUGCAUUCCAAUUAUUGGCAGGGACAUGAAGAAUAUCUGUUUCUAUAGUAAGGAGGAGUUAGGGUCCAAAAUAGAAACAGAAGUGAUACUCUGGCUAAAGAUGUACACAAAGUUCACAACUGGGUAAGGAAGCUGAAAUCCAAAUGCCAAUUUACUAAUGUGAGGAAAAAUGAGGGUAACUUACUAUGUUGUAGGGGAAAUUAUUAAGUAACAUGCAUGUGAAAUGUACCUUAUAACAGGUUCUGUAUUUUUAAAGGGAUAUAAUUAUGUGUUCAUGCAUAUUUGAGAAUUUUAUUAUGUUGUGUUUUAUUAGUGGAAAUAAAUCAGUAGAAUUAGAUAAACCUGACUCACACAAUAAGAUGUUUCAAUCAACAAGAUACUUGGGAUGCAGAGAAAGUGACUAUUUAGGUAAGAUAUUCUUGCAACCCCAAGAGAGGUAAACCAGACCACAGGUGGAAGUCUGUCAAGUAGGAGCCAUGAACUGCCUUGAGGGAGUUGGAAGCAGCUUUAAGACAGUAUGAAGAAGGGCUCAACUUGUCCACAAAAUGUUUUAGGUCUACCAGUUUGAGAACUGCAGGACACACACCUGCACUUUGUUCCUCCCUCUGUUGUUGCCAUUGGUGAAAAUAAACCAAGUGCUCUCGACCACA